GCCUUACUAGCUCAAAGGUAGAGCAACCUCUUUGUAAGGGGAAGGUUAUCAGUUCGAUUCUGAUGUAGGGCU
rnacentral:tRNA from 1 species